rnacentral:rRNA from 1 species
GAUGAACGCUAGCUACAGGCUUAACACAUGCAAGUCGAGGGGCAGCAGGAUCUAGCAAUAGAUUGCUGGCGACCGGCGCACGGGUGAGUAACACGUAUCCAACCUGCCGAUAACUCGGGGAUAGCCUUUCGAAAGAAAGAUUAAUACCCGAUGGUAUAAUCAGACCGCAUGGUUUGAUUAUUAAAGAAUUUCGGUUAUCGAUGGGGAUGCGUUCCAUUAGGCAGUUGGUGAGGUAACGGCUCACCAAACCUUCGAUGGAUAGGGGUUCUGAGAGGAAGGUCCCCCACAUUGGAACUGAGACACGGUCCAAACCCCUACGGGAGGCAGCAGUGAGGAAUAUUGGUCAAUGGACGCGAGUCUGAACCAGCCAAGUAGCGUGAAGGAUGACUGCCCUAUGGGUUGUAAACUUCUUUUAUAUGGGAAUAAAGUUUUCCACGUGUGGAAUUUUGUAUGUACCAUAUGAAUAAGGAUCGGCUAACUCCGUGCCAGCAGCCGCGGUAAUACGGAGGAUCCGAGCGUUAUCCGGAUUUAUUGGGUUUAAAGGGAGCGUAGGUGGACAGUUAAGUCAGUUGUGAAAGUUUGCGGCUCAACCGUAAAAUUGCAGUUGAUACUGGCUGUCUUGAGUACAGUAGAGGUGGGCGGAAUUCGUGGUGUAGCGGUGAAAUGCUUAGAUAUCACGAAGAACUCCGAUUGCGAAGGCAGCUCACUGGACUGCAACUGACACUGAUGCUCGAAAGUGUGGGUAUCAAACAGGAUUAGAUACCCUGGUAGUCCACACAGUAAACGAUGAAUACUCGCUGUUUGCGAUAUACAGUAAGCGGCCAAGCGAAAGCAUUAAGUAUUCCACCUGGGGAGUACGCCGGCAACGGUGAAACUCAAAGGAAUUGACGGGGGCCCGCACAAGCGGAGGAACAUGUGGUUUAAUUCGAUGAUACGCGAGGAACCUUACCCGGGCUUAAAUUGCAUUUGAAUAAUCUGGAAACAGGUUAGCCGCAAGGCAAAUGUGAAGGUGCUGCAUGGUUGUCGUCAGCUCGUGCCGUGAGGUGUCGGCUUAAGUGCCAUAACGAGCGCAACCCUUAUCUUUAGUUACUAACAGGUCAUGCUGAGGACUCUAGAGAGACUGCCGUCGUAAGAUGUGAGGAAGGUGGGGAUGACGUCAAAUCAGCACGGCCCUUACGUCCGGGGCUACACACGUGUUACAAUGGGGGGUACAGAAGGCAGCUACCUGGUGACAGGAUGCUAAUCCCAAAAGCCUCUCUCAGUUCGGAUCGAAGUCUGCAACCCGACUUCGUGAAGCUGGAUUCGCUAGUAAUCGCGCAUCAGCCAUGGCGCGGUGAAUACGUUCCCGGGCCU